UACGUAGGUGGCAAGCGUUGUCCGGAUUUAUUGGGUUUAAAGGGUGCGUAGGCGGUCUAUUAAGUCAGUGGUGAAAUACUCCAGCUUAACUGGAGGGGUGCCAUUGAUACUGAUGGACUUGAGUCAAGUCGAGGUAGGCGGAAUUGACGGUGUAGCGGUGAAAUGCUUAGAUAUCGUCAAGAACACCAAUAGUGAAGACAGCUUACUGGGCUUAAACUGACGCUCAUGCACGAAAGCGUGGGGAGCAAACAGG
rnacentral:rRNA from 1 species